rnacentral:rRNA from 1 species
UACGUAGGGUGCAAGCGUUGUCCGGAAUUAUUGGGCGUAAAGAGCGUGUAGGCGGCCCGAUUAGUCCGCUGUGAAAGUCCAGGGCUCAACCCUGGAAUGCCGGUGGAUACUGUCGGGCUAGAGUCCGGAAGGGGCGAGUGGAAUUCCUGGUGUAGCGGUGAAAUGCGCAGAUAUCAGGAGGAACACCAACGGCGAAGGCAGCUCGCUGGGACGGUACUGACGCUGAGACGCGAAAGCGUGGGGAGCGAACAGG